rnacentral:rRNA from 1 species
UACAGAGACCUCAAACGUUAUCCGGAUUUAUUGGGCGUAAAGGGUCCGCAGGUGGCUUGAUUAGUCAGUGGUUAAAUUCCAGCGCUUAACGUUGGCACUGCCAUUGAUACUGUCAAGCUUGAGACCGGGAGAGGCAAGCGGAACUGCCGGUGUAGUCGUAAUAAGCGCUGAUAUCGGCAGGAACACCAAAGGCGAAGGCAGCUUGCUAGAACGGUUCUGACACUCAGGGACGAAAGCGUGGGGAGCGAAUAGG